GGCAUCCCCAGUGGUGGAAUGCGUGCAUGGAGGAUCAGAUCUCUCAGAGGAAGAGGAGAAUUUACUGACAUCCUUAUCCACAUUCCAGGGCAUGCCUUUCAUCUCCUCAUCUGCACCAUUGUGCUGCUCAAGAGAGAGGGUCAUUAAUGUUCUUCCAUUCAUGCUGUAGGGACAAAGCUCAAGGGACUCCGUCCUUUAUGUGUGCUAUGAGCUAAAUUCCUAUGCGUUUGGGUGUAUGAGUGCUCAACGAUUUGCAUUCAUGUUAUUGGGACCUCUCCAUGCUAGUGGAAUAUAAAUGACAAAAGACAAAUGGAUUAGAUCACCAAGAGUCGUUAACAUCUCAGCAAUAAUAUGUUGAUUUCUCCCACCUGGGGAAAGAUCCUAAGAUAUUUUUUUUUCUACAUCCUGGGGGAAAGGGAGAGAUGUUUGGUCAAACUUGGAAAAUUCCCUUGAAUGACAGCAGUCUUAUCCGACUUCAGCUUUGUGAGGAGGGAUUUCUGGGUAGCUGAAUCUGGGAUGACCACUUCAUCAGGAUUUAUCACCUGUGAAAAACAGAAUAUUGAGGUGCCCUUGUUAAAAUGGUUUAAACAAUCUUGCCAGAAGUGAUUGGUUUAUGCAUAAGAAUAUGUUUCAACCAUCUGCAUAUCCACCCAUUCUGUGCAGCUGCUGGCAGACCUCCCUGCAACCUGUGUGUAUCUACAGCUCCACUUCUGCGGUGGGAUUUGAGCAUUAAUAUGCCAGCUCAGAGACUUGAUCUGGAGAAUUGCUCUGGGUGCAAGCAAGCCCAUGCAACUUUUGCCCCUGAUAACCUCGGAGAUUUGCAAACAGGAGACUGUUUUCCAGUGAGAUGGGUGUCACCAUCAGGAGAAAUGCUCCUGCCAGUGAAGAACUCAACAGACUGCAGAGCUGUCAUCGUCAGAACUUGUCACCCCUCCUCUGUUGGCCAUGAGACAUGUGUCUGCAUGGAGCCCCAUCACAGGCUGAGGCAAAAUGCAGUGCUACUGCCAGCAGCAGGAGACCUUGCUUGCUCAGUGCUGUGAGUCAAGUGGAUAUGUGGCCUUUCUGCAUGGAAAAAUUAAAUCUUUGAAUAAAGUAAUAAAGUAAGAAAAUUACUAGGGUUGUGGCAUGGUCCACUCCAGUU